GACGAACGCUGGCGGCGUGCUUAACACAUGCAAGUCGAACGAAGAGCGAUGGAAGCUUGCUUCUAUCAAUCUUAGUGGCGAACGGGUGAGUAACGCGUAAUCAACCUGCCCUUCAGAGGGGGACAACAGUUGGAAACGACUGCUAAUGCCGCAUACGAUCUGACCUCGGCAUCGAGGAUAGAUGAAAGGUGGCCUCUAUUUAUAAGCUAUCACUGAAGGAGGGGAUUGCGUCUGAUUAGCUAGUUGGAGGGGUAACGGCCCACCAAGGCGAUGAUCAGUAGCCGGUCUGAGAGUAUGAACGGCCACAUUGGGACUGAGACACGGCCCAGACUCCUACGGGAGGCAGCAGUGGGGAAUCUUCCGCAAUGGACGAAAGUCUGACGGAGAAACGCCGCGUGAGUGAUGACGGCCUUCGGGUUGUAAAGCUCUGUUAAUCGGGACGAAAGGCCUUCUUGCGAAUAGUUAGAAGGAUUGACGGUACCGGAAUAGAAAGCCACGGCUAACUACGUG
rnacentral:rRNA from 1 species